rnacentral:rRNA from 1 species
UACGGGGGGGGCAAGCGUUGUUCGGAAUUACUGGGCGUAAAGGGCUCGUAGGCGGCCAACUAAGUCAGACGUGAAAUCCCCAGGCUUAACCUGGGAACUGCAUCCGAUACUGGAUGGCUUGAAUUCGGGAGAGGGAUGCAGAAUUCCAGGUGUAGCGGUGAAAUGCGUAGAUAUCUGGAGGAAUACCGGUGGCGAAGGCGGCAUCCUGGACCGAGAUUGACGCUGAGGCGCGAAAGCCAGGGGAGCAAACGGG